AUUGAACGCUGGCGGCAUGCUUUACACAUGCAAGUCGAACGGUAACAGGGUGCUUGCACCGCUGACGAGUGGCGAACGGGUGAGUAAUGCGUCGGAACGUGCCGAGUAGCGGGGGAUAACGCAUCGAAAGGUGUGCUAAUACCGCAUACGUACUGAGGUAGAAAGUGGGGGACCUUCGGGCCUCACGCUAUUCGAGCGGCCGACGUCUGAUUAGCUAGUUGGUGAGGUAAAGGCUCACCAAGGCGACGAUCAGUAGCGGGUCUGAGAGGAUGAUCCGCCACACUGGGACUGAGACACGGCCCAGACUCCUACGGGAGGCAGCAGUGGGGAAUUUUGGACAAUGGGCGCAAGCCUGAUCCAGCCACGCCGCGUGUCUGAAGAAGGCCUUCGGGUUGUAAAGGACUUUUGUCCGGGAGCAAAUGCCUGGUGUUAAUAGCACUGGGAGCUGAGAGUACCGGAAGAAUAAGCACCGGCUAACUACGUGCCAGCAGCCGCCGUAAGAC
rnacentral:rRNA from 1 species